rnacentral:misc_RNA from 1 species
AUUUAUCAGUCCAUUGAACGGAAG